CAGCCGCCGCGGGAAUACAGAGGGUGCGAGCGUUAAUCGGAUUUACUGGGCGUAAAGCGUGCGUAGGCGGCUUUUUAAGUCGGAUGUGAAAUCCCUGAGCUUAACUUAGGAAUUGCAUUCGAUACUGGGAAGCUAGAGUAUGGGAGAGGAUGGUAGAAUUCCAGGUGUAGCGGUGAAAUGCGUAGAGAUCUGGAGGAAUACCGAUGGCGAAGGCAGCCAUCUGGCCUAAUACUGACGCUGAGGUACGAAAGCAUGGGGAGCAAACAGGAUUAGAUACCCCCGAGUCCCUGUCUCUUAUACA
rnacentral:rRNA from 1 species